rnacentral:rRNA from 1 species
CACGUAGGGCGCAAGCGUUGUCCGGAAUUAUUGGGCGUAAAGAGCUCGUAGGCGGUCUGUUGCGUCCGCUGUGAAAACUCGGGGCUUAACCCCCGAGCCUGCAGUGGAUACGGGCAGACUAGAGGUAGGUAGGGGAGAAUGGAAUUCCCGGUGUAGCGGUGAAAUGCGCAGAUAUCGGGAGGAACACCUGUGGCGAAAGCGGCGCCACUGGACCAUAACUGACGCUGAGGCGCGAAAGCUAGGGGGAGCAAACAGG